GGUGGUGGCAGAAAAGGGGAGGGUGGUUAAGGCAAAUCAGAGGGAGGGUGCAGAGGAAGCAGAAAGGGACAGAGAAUGGGUUGUGGGGGGGGGGGAAUGAAAGGGGAGCUCCUCCUCUUUCUCUCUCCCUAUCUCCUCUCUUGCUCCCGCUCGCCCAUUUUCCUCCUUCUGUCUCCUGGAGGGGAAACUUGUUGGUGGUCAGUCCGCUGCCACGUCAAGCCUCCAGCAAGGUGGACGCAGUGGAGUGCCAUUUUUUUUUUCUUUUUUUGGGGGGGGGUUCUAACUUUGGGAAGGAAAACGAUGGGGAAAGUUUUCUAUUCUAGGUUUGACUAUUUACUAUUCCAGUCAAUGUGGAAGAUGAACGCCCCCCCCCCCACGCACCCCCUCAAAAAAAAAAAAAAAAUAAUCGGACAAGAAGUUGCAAAGAAGAGAUGCUCCAAUUUCAGAUGUCUGGAAUGCGCCGCGCAGCGGGAUGCUGGGCAGGGAACCUCUCGGAAUCUGCCAAUCAGUGGCUAUCACCUCCGUCUCACCUCUCCUCCCGCCCUCACCGUCAUCCUCAUGGGCUCGGGUGAGUAAAAGCAUGCGCUCCGUUUUUUUUUGUUUUUUGUUUUUUUUUGUUUUGUUCCAGGAAAACCAAACAAAUAAAUGCAGCAUCUAUCAAGCCCGGCCCGCCCGCCCAGUGUUCAGACUACCUGUUCAGGAAGUAGUGGUUGUACAGUAGUCUGCACAUUGGUUAGGCUGGCCCGGGGAAGCACGGGAACAGAACCAGCACUUCAGAAGCAGCCCUCAGCCCAACUUGGGAUGCGGAAGAGCCCAUUUGAGUGGUUCUGAAUGGACCACAAAGUCCUCAAAGAAAGUGACUCAGUGAUGGUGCUGCUGAUGUCACUUUGACACAAUGUAGUGAUGUUACCAAAUCAUGUUCAAUUUGUUAAAAAAAAAAAAAGAAAUAAAGAUGCUUCUGAUUGGGAACAGUUUUUUUGAUUUUUUUUUUGUUUGGGAAGCAGCUCGUCAGAGUCAACGUCUUCAAAGUUUUCCUUUAUAAUUAUGUUUUAGGAGAAAGCAAGUUGAUCGCAUAUGAUCUCAAACUUUCGUUACUCAUGAGAAACUUUUCAGACUUUUUUUUGACGUUUGAAUCGUCCUCCAAAUUACGAAAAGUGUUUGUUACACAACUGUGACUUUUAAAACGUUUGAAAAUAGUCUUCCCCAAAAGAAAUGUGUCAUAAACUACUGAAGGGAAUUUUAAAUCUGUGAAUAAAAUGUUACCAACCUUG